CUAGUGACUAUCCUGGGUAGCUGGGUGACAGUGAGUGAGGUUGGUCCAGAUGCAGAAAUUCUGUGAGCCAAUAAACCCAGAGGGAUUUCUAAAAACAUGAAGUAUCGCCAGAUAUCAGGGAGAUCAAUAGGUCAUCUUGAGCUGCCUUUGAAGAUUACUUGAUGAAGUAACAGUACUGAUCACGUGUUUCUAACAGGACCUAAAGAGACAUGGUAAUGGCAGUGAUCACCUACAGUAUGUUGAGGCUGAUUAGAAGACAUGGGGUGUUGCUGCUGCUCAAAUAUGUCCAGCAUG